UACGUAGGGCGCGAGCGUUGUCCGGAAUUAUUGGGCGUAAAGGGCUUGUAGGUGGCUGGUUGCGUCUGUCGUGAAAGCUCAUGGCUUAACUGUGGGUUUGCGGUGGGUACGGGCUGGCUUGAGUGCAGUAGGGGAGGCUGGAAUUCCUGGUGUAGCGGUGGAAUGCGCAGAUAUCAGGAGGAAUACCGGUGGCGAAGGCGGGUCUCUGGGCUGUUACUGACACUGAGGAGCGAAAGCAUGGGGAGCGAACAGGAUUAGAUACCCCCGUAGUCC
rnacentral:rRNA from 1 species